rnacentral:rRNA from 1 species
GGUAAGGUAACGGCUUACCAAGGCAACGAUGCAUAGCCGACCUGAGAGGGUGAUCGGCCACACUGGAACUGAGACACGGUCCAGACUCCUACGGGAGGCAGCAGUAGGGAAUCUUCCGCAAUGGGCGAAAGCCUGACGGAGCAACGCCGCGUGAGUGAUGAAGGUCUUCGGAUCGUAAAACUCUGUUAUUAGGGAAGAACAUAUGUGUAAGUAACUGUGCACAUCUUGACGGUACCUAAUCAGAAAGCCACGGCUAACUACGUGCCAGCAGCCGCGGUAAUACGUAGGUGGCAAGCGUUAUCCGGAAUUAUUGGGCGUAAAGCGCGCGUAGGCGGUUUUUUAAGUCUGAUGUGAAAGCCCACGGCUCAACC